rnacentral:lncRNA from 1 species
UUAAAAUAAAAAGAUCAUUUUAAUCAUUUUUUCUUUGAAUGUUAUUUUGUGACAAAAACUUAAUAAGAGCUAGUUGAAAGAAUUACCUUUUUUAAUGUUUUCAAUCCUCUUCAACACACUCAUAAUAUAUACAUAGGCCUGGACACAAAUCAAAUAGUACCGUAUUUUUUAGUAUUUGUGAUUUGUUUCGUAUUUUACG